rnacentral:lncRNA from 1 species
UUAUUGAGAUGCAUUGAGUUUUAAGAAUAGACGACAAACCUUAGGAUUCAAUAAGUGUAUUGGAGAUUGUCCAUCAAAGAGGUUCUCGGUAGUAAACGUUGAAUCCACACUCUGUGGGUGUUUAAAUUCUUGCUAAAGACUAAUGUGUCCCUUGAUAAUUUUGAGGGGCUAUUGUAGACUUUUUUUAAGUACUAAAAUUGGGUUUUGACAUUUUGUAAAAAUAAAUUGGGUUUGACAUUUUUUUAAGACAAAUAUUUUACUCAAAACAUAUCUCUAUGGUAUAUAUGUAUGCGUGUGCUUAGUGCUUUCUCUUUUACGUGACUGGACACUCUCGUGGUUGAAGAGUUCAAUUUAAUCUUGGCCAUAGAAAAAUUAUGAAUGGGAAAGAUUUUAAAAAAAUAUAAAAAUGAGAGAAAUAAACGUUUAAGGGUGAGAAUAUAACAUGAGAGGAAAUGGGUGGAGUUAAAUUAGAGAAUCCUUUUUUUCACAUAAAGAAAAAAGUGAAUCCUUUUCCUUUUCUAGUUUCUACUCAUAAAAGAGGGGCAAGUUUGUAAAGUUUAGUUUUUUUUUGACAAGAGUUUAUAAGUUUAGUUUAUUUUCC